CUCUAGCGAGCUCGGUCUCUGUCCAGCUGGUUGGUUUAAUCACGGCUCACGCUGCUUCCUCUACGUUGACAACCCCUGGGCUGGAACGACGCAGCGGAUCACUGCAAGAAGAUUGGCGCAGACCUGCCUCCAUCCACAACCCCACAGAGAACAACUUCAUGCAGCUACUGGUCCAGUUGGGGAACAACGACGCGUGGAUAGGAGCCUACUACCUGCAGACUCAAUGGAGAUGGAUCGAUGGUGAAGGGUUGUACUACAGCGACUGGAUCGGCAUGUCUUCAGCCUCCAGCAACCCUGUGCCUACCUACGCAAGAACAACGGUUGGGGCAACUCUGUCUGUAGCACCAAUCGGAGAUUCAUCUGCAGUACAAAGCCUGGCAACUGCUAGCUAUCUGGCUAACGUGUCCAAAGCUUGCUGAUGGGUGUCCCUAUUUGGGUUCAAGGCUUUGAUCUUUUUCCUGUUGUACUUGCAUGUUUAUUAUGGACUUACCGGUAAAUAAUAAUAAUAAUAAGUACGGUAGUAAUAAUAAUAAGUUUAUAAUUAUAAGUUUAUUUUAUAAAGCACAUUUCUCACACUCAAGGUUGCUUUACAGUCUCAUGAGCACACACAGAACAAGACAGCAACACAACACAGAUAAAAA